rnacentral:rRNA from 1 species
AGCGAACGCUGGCGGCGUGCUUAACACAUGCAAGUCGAACGGUAAGGCCCUUCGGGGUACACGAGUGGCGAACGGGUGAGUAACACGUGGGUGAUCUGCCCUGCACUUCGGGAUAAGCCUGGGAAACUGGGUCUAAUACCGGAUAGGACUCCGGACUGCAUGGUCUGGGGUGGAAAGCUUUUGCGGUGUGGGAUGGGCCCGCGGCCGGUCAGCUUGUUGGUGGGGUGAUGGCCUACCAAGGCGACGACGGGUAGCCGGCCUGAGAGGGUGACCGGCCACACUGGGACUGGGAUACGGCCCAGACUCCUCCGGGAGGCAGCAGUGGGGAAUAUUGCACAAUGGGCGCAAGCCUGGUGCAGCGACGCCGCGUGAGGGAUGACGGCCUUCGGGUUGUAAACCUCUUUCAGUAGGGACGAAGCGCAAGUGACGGUACCUACAGAAGAAGGACCGGCCAACUACGUGCCAGCCGCCGCUGUAA